UACGUAGGGAGCAAGCGUUGUCCGGAAUCAUUGGGCGUAAAGCGCGCGUAGGUGGCUUCGUAAGUCCGUUGUGAAAGUCAAAGGCUCAACCUUUGAAAGCCGAUGGAUACUGCGGAGCUAGAGUACGGAAGAGGCGAGUGGAAUUCCUGGUGUAGCGGUGGAAUGUGCAGAUAUCAGGAGGAACACCAAUAGCGAAGGCAGCUCGCUGGGACGUUACUGACACUGAGGCGCGAAAGCGUGGGGAGCAAACAGG
rnacentral:rRNA from 1 species